GAUUCUGGCUCAGGAUAAACGCUGGCGGCGUGCUUAACACAUGCAAGUCGAACGGAGUGGUUCUCCCGAGGAUUGACGGUGCUUGCACCUGAUUGACUCAUUGAAUCACUUAGUGGCGGACGGGUGAGUAACGCGUGGGUAACCUGCCCUAGUACUGGGGGAUAGCAAGUUGGAAACGACUGAUAAUACCGCAUAAGCGCACAGUAUCGCAUGGUACGGUGUGAAAAACUCCGGUGGUAUAGGAUGGACCCGCGUCUGAUUAGCUAGUUGGUGAGGUAACGGCCCACCAAGGCGACGAUCAGUAGCCGGCCUGAGAGGGUGUACGGCCACAUUGGGACUGAGACACGGCCCAAACUCCUACGGGAGGCAGCAGUGGGGAAUAUUGGACAAUGGGGGAAACCCUGAUCCAAGCGACGCCGCGUGAACGAUGAAGUAUCUCGGUAUGUAAAGUUCUAUCAGCAGGGAAGAUAAUGACGGUACCUGACUAAGAAGCACCGGCUAAAUACGUGCCAGCCGCCGC
rnacentral:rRNA from 1 species